rnacentral:rRNA from 1 species
GUAGUGGGGGACAACAGUUGGAAACAGCUGCUAAUACCGCAUACGCCCUAUGGGGAAAGCGGGGGAUCUUCGGACCUCGCGCUAUUGGAGGAGCCUGCGUCGGAUUAGCUAGUUGGUGGGGUAAAAGCCUACCAAGGCGACGAUCCGUAGCUGGUCUGAGAGGAUGAUCAGCCACACUGGAACUGAGACACGGUCCAGACUCCUACGGGAGGCAGCAGUGGGGAAUAUUGCGCAAUGGGGGCAACCCUGACGCAGCCAUGCCGCGUGUGUGAAGAAGGCCCUAGGGUUGUAAAGCACUUUCAAAAGCGAGGAAAAGCUGAUGCUUAAUACGUAUCAGCCCUGACGUUAACUUUAGAAGAAGCACCGGCUAACUCCGUGCCAGCAGCCGCGGUAAUACGGAGGGUGCGAGCGUUAAUCGGAAUUACUGGGCGUAAAGCGCGCGUAGGGGUUAAUUAAGUCAGCUGUGAAAGCCCCGGGCUUAACCUGGGAACUGCAGUUGAUACUGGUCGACUAGAGUGCGAGAGAGGGAGGUAGAAUUCCACGUGUAGCGGUGAAAUGCGUAGAUAUGUGGAGGAAUACCGGUGGCGAAGGGGCCUCCUGGCUCGACACUGACGCUGAGGUGCGAAAGGUGGGGAGCAAACAGGAUUAGAUACCCUGGUAGUCCACGCCGUAAACGAUGUCUACUAGCCGUUGGGGUACUUGAGACCUUAGUGGCGCAGUAACGCACUGAGUAGACCGCCUGGGGAGUACGGCCGCAAGUUAAAACUCAAAUGAAUUGACGGGGGCCC